rnacentral:rRNA from 1 species
AUUGAACGCUGGCGGCAGGCCUAACACAUGCAAGUCGAGCGAGCGGCGGAUGGGUGAGUAAUAUCUGGGAAACUGCCUGAUGGAGGGGGCUAACUACUGGAAACGCUAGCUAAUACUGCAUACCAUCAGAUGUGCCCAGAUGGGAUUAGCUAGUAGGUGGGGGAACGGCUCACCCAGGCGACGAUCCCUAGCGGGUCUGAGAGGAUGACCAGCCACACUGGAACUGAGACACGGUCCAGACUCCUACGGGAGGCAGCAGUGGGGAAUAUUGCACAAUGGGCGCAAGCCUGAUGCAGCCAUGCCGCGUGUAUGAAGAAGGCCUUCGGAUUGUAAAGUACUUUCAGCGGGGAGGCGUUACUCGCAGAAGAAGCACCGGCUAACUCCGUGCCAGCAGCCGCGGUAAUUC